GUUCCUGUAGCGCAAUGGAUGGGGUGUUGGACUUCUAAUCCAAAGGUCAUGAGUUUGAAUCCCAUCUGGAAUG